GAUUUGGGAGCAGCUGAAUACGCAAAUUCUAGACCUGUAUUAAAAGAGAAAAAAAAUGCUAUUGGAAGAGGUAAGAAAUAACAUUAGUUUGUUCUGGUUUCGGCUUGCUGGCCUGUUCUUUUUAAGGCUUGUAGAAGCAGGACUUCAACUUUAAAAUAUCCUUACUCAAAUUUCAACCGAUAAAACAUAUCAGUGGCAUCAAUUUGAAAAUCUGUGCUACUGAAUUUUAGUACUGACAGAACACACUGAAUUGGGCUCUGCCUUGCAAAGACUAAUGCCGUGAUUAACUCUGCUUUUUUAGAAUAAUACUCCUGUCAAAAAUCAAAUGGGAUUAUUCACGAGAGACAGUCAAAUACAUUCUUAGCAGAGCUUUUCCUCUGACAGCUGAAACACUUGUUUCAAAACAGUCUACUUCAUACUGAAAAUUAAUGUUACCUCAUCUAACAUUUUUCUUGGCAAAGAGAACAUUAUAGACCUGCAAAUGACACAGCUCUUAUGUCUUGCAUAACAAAGGCGUGCUUUAUUUUCACCGUUAUUGCUAUUUGACUUUUGCUAGAAAUGCACUGGUGUUUCUUUUCAAUAGCAGGGCUAACGCUCCAAGCCAGAAAGGUCAAUUUGCCUGUUGCGAGGGAGCAACUUUGUUCUUGUCAGAGAACCAGAACUCUAUUGUCGCUGCCGCAGCGGCAUCCUGCAGCGCCACCCCAGACACCGCUGAUAACCAGCGCCCGCUCCUCCCUUCCAUCCCAAAACACUUCAGAAUGAGCCACCAGCGACCCGCUUGUGAUUCUAGAAGGGAACUGAACUAAACGUUUUUGGUGCCACUGGGCUGGGGGAGCUGCUGUCAAUUUAAACCGUAAGCAGAGCAUGGCUGCAGGGAGACCUGCAAACGGGGAGGGGCAAAAUUACAUUUAUUUCCAAAAUUAAAAAUGUCUUUUUCUUUCUAGCCUUUGCCACUAAUAAAACAGUUCAGGUUUUUCAAGGAGUAUUUAUCUGGCCAAUCUUACUAAAAGGAAGAAAAAAAUAGAGUACUCUCAGGAUACAUUAACUUGCUUCUUAACCUCUUGUUAAGUUAUAGUUGCCACAAGCCUCCAGCGUAUCAGCUGCAUUUUGGUCACCAGGCUUUUGUACGUUCUGUCCAAGUUAAGCUCAAAUAUGUGACAUGGAAGGAUACUCUCCUGUCCAUUUCACAGCUCUACUGGAUGCGAGUGGUCCUGCUGGAAAAAGAUCCUAAGACUAAAAUCAAAAACCAAAAUGGGUGCAACACUAUGCGCUUUUGCAACAAAACAAGGCAUGCUUCUAAACUUGAAUAAUGUUUCCGGCAACCCUAAUAUUUAAUUUAGCACAAGGAAUAUAAAAUCUUUGCCUUCAGAGAUGGUUUUGCCUGCUGGCAGCCAUUGAUAACGAUUUCAUGCUACCUCAAAUGAGCAGUUUGGAAAUGAAACCUUCUAGUUGGUGUUGUCAUGUGAGAUUACAAUGGCCGGUUAAAUGAGGUGGCUUUGAGAGGAUUGACAGAAUAAUACAAAAGAUUAAUGCAAUGUGUGUCAUCUUUUUAAAGGUACCUCGAGUGUAACUAAUGUGGCUUAAUAAGAAUAUGCUUAGUUUUGCAGUAAACAAAAAACAAACAUGUCUCUGCUCUUAUGAUAUACAGUCGCUUUUUGUUCACAAGAAACCCUUCCAAAUCACUAUAGUUUUGUAACCAUUAACACUUCACUUAAUUUAAAUCUGAAUUUCAUAGCACAAUAGAUGCCUUUAUCAAGUUUUAAUAGCAAAUUAGUGAAGUAUACUCCAUUAGGUCUUGAGAAGCCUUCUUAAAGAUAAUAAGAAUUCAGUUUAGAUUAACAUUCAGAAGGCAGGAAAAAAAAAGCUUUGUAAAACAAAACAAAUUAAAGUGUAAUACACAAAGCAAUUAAGUUCUGCAUAGAAUUUCUGGUUCAAAGGAGGAGAAGCAUUUGCAUUUUUCCUAACAUUGACCAACAGUUUUUGAAGUUCUAAAGCUGUUGGCAGAGACUCAGCAAGUGCGGAACAGCAGGGUAUUCACGUAAGAAUCGUGUACUUUGCUUCUCGUGAAGUCCACUAAAGCAGCCGAAAAAAACAAUCCUUGGUUUGGAGUUCAACAGAGAAUGCAUCAAGCCCUUGACCUUUCCACAAGCUGCAGAGAGGUUUGUUAUUUGUUCCUUGCAAACACCUAUAAACUAGAAACGGCGCCUGACAGAGAAACAGGAAUGCGUAACAGGAAAGAAAGGUAUUUGGUUUUGCGUGAACACUUGCAUUGCUGGUAAGUCAUCUGUUUAGCUGAGUAACUCGACUAAGCAAGACUUCCAUUUUCAGAUUUCCAUGUGGUAGAUUUGUGACGGCCACUGUUCCCACGUAAUAAAUGUACCGUGAUCCAGGACAGCGGUGACCGCGCAGAAUCCAUCAUUAAUGAUCGAUAUGAAAGCAGAUUUAAAACACACGAAGACUCAUACCUGCUAUACUUGCAAAUAUUUCACUGAAUCCGAUCAGCACGUAUUGAGGAAUCUGCCACCAUAUCGGCAAAUCUGCGGCAUG